GUGGGGAAUAUUGGACAAUGGGCGAAAGCCUGAUCCAGCCAUGCCGCGUGUGUGAAGAAGGUCUUCGGAUUGUAAAGCACUUUAAGUUGGGAGGAAGGGCAGUAAGUUAAUACCUUGCUGUUUUGACGUUACCGACAGAAUAAGCACCGGCUAACUUCGUGCCAGCAGCCGCGGUAAUACGAAGGGUGCAAGCGUUAAUCGGAAUUACUGGGCGUAAAGCGCGCGUAGGUGGUUCAGCAAGUUGAAGGUGAAAUCCCCGGGCUCAACCUGGGAACUGCCUCCAAAGCUGCAUGACUAGAGUACGGUAGAGGGUAGUGGAAUUUCCUGUGUAGCGGUGAAAUGCGUAGAUAUAGGAAGGAACACCAGUGGCGAAGGCGACUACCUGGACUGAUACUGACACUGAGGUGCGAAAGCGUGGGGAGCAAACAGGAUUAGAAACCCGAGUAGUCC
rnacentral:rRNA from 1 species